GUCCGGUACUUCGCACUUGUAGUCUCAUUCCGACUUUUGCCGGUCCGAGAACUACGCGUUUGGAGGGGGCUGUUUUCGGAUGGAUCUCUGCUUUGAUGUCGUGUCCGGCGGGGGGAGAAUCAACUAAACUGAACUCCCUGGGAGAGAACCCGGCACAUGGUAAAAGCUAAUUACACUAACAACACCAGCGGGAUCCACUUUUCGGUCUAACACUUCGUGGACUGGUGGAGUCAUUAGGUCCAGUGAUUCAUGACACCUCUUCUGCUCAUGCCGUGCUGGGAGUCCCCCGCCUGGUUCGCUCACUUCAGCCUGGGAGGUACAGGUUUCUACUCAUAGCACAGCAUCCUCAGCAGACGACUUCACUUGAAGCUAAAUCCCAGCCAGACUGGGCUGCUAUAUAACCCCAAAGAUGUCUCCCCAAGUCAAGACCUUGCAAUCUCACUAGAGAACUCUUGGAUCACUCCAACUGCCAAGGCCUGCAACCUUGGGGUAAUUCAGGAGAAAUUGGCCAUUUCUCUCCAUGGAAGGCACUCGGGUGCUUGUUCGGUACCUUGUGGUCUCAAG